CAUGAAACCAAUCGGCUGUGAGAUGAGAAGGGAACCACCAGAGACCAAGGUUGAUUCUUCUGGGUCAAAGAGCAGAGGCUGUUUUAAAAGAAUCAAACACGCAGUUCCAAUGCAACGGUCCAGUCCGUUAUCAACGAACUGCAUAAUGGAGUUGGGAAGGAAGAAAAGAUAGCUCAGCUACCCCGCCUGGUGGCAGAGAAUUAGGACUCCCACACAGCGACCCGGAGCCUGACGGCCGCCCCCUCCCCCGGCCGCGCUCCGGCCCCGAGACCCACCAACCCCUUCGAGCCGGAGGAGGACCACCUGCCGCUGGCCCCUGGGGGCGGGGGAGACGUGUGGCGCAGCAGCAUGUCAGUCGGAUUAAAACCAAAAAAUGUAACAGGAUUUUAUUGAAAGCUAGAGUCGACUUUCUCUUUAUAUUUAUUUAAAUUAAUAUUGAUAUAAUAAUUAAAAAAUAUAUAUAUUUAUUUUUUUAUAUUAUUAUAUCAAUAUUAAUUUAAACAAAAAUAAAUAAAUACACAGAGAAAAGUCGACUCUCUAGCUUUCAAUUAAAUCCUGAUACAUUUGUUAGUUUUAAUCCGACUGUACAUUACUUUGAAAGGAUGAACCUCAGUUUCGUGAUUUAGACCUCACUUGACCUCACUCCCAGAGGUCCACGGUGCAAUGUCACCACUGGGAUGCUGACGGCGUUUCCCGCCGGAUUUAUUUUCCCUUGGCGGCCCUCAGUCAAAUUUUGGGUUCCUAAAUUGGCCCUCAGCUGUCAAAACUUUGAGAACCCCUGGUUCAAAGAGACAAUGUUUAGACUCGAAACGCAUACACAUAUGUCUGAUCAUUGGAUGUAUCUGUGAUGGCAAAUGUAUCAUAUAAUGCUUUUUAGGCAAAAAGCUCCUUCCAAUGCUUCAUAUGAUUUUCAAUUAGUGACUUCAACCUAGAAACAGUUGCAAUGCUAAUAACAGGUGCAAACACUAUUUGCACAAUCACUAUUAACUCAGUUAUAAAUUGGACACAUGCAUUGACUUCCAAACUCUCCAAAACAAAUGGCAAUAUCUUUAGACCAUAGAGA